ACCCUACGGGGGGCAGCAGUGGGGAAUAUUGCACAAUGGGGGAAACCCUGAUGCAGCGACGCAGCGUGCGGGAUGACGGCCUUCGGGUUGUAAACCGCUUUCAGCAGGGAAGAAGCGAAAGUGACGGUACCUGCAGAAGAAGUACCGGCUAACUACGUGCCAGCAGCCGCGGUAAUACGUAGGGUACGAGCGUUGUCCGGAAUUAUUGGGCGUAAAGAGCUCGUAGGUGGUUGGUCACGUCUGCUGUGGAAACGCAACGCUUAACGUUGCGCGUGCAGUGGGUACGGGCUGACUAGAGUGCAGUAGGGGAGUCUGGAAUUCCUGGUGUAGCGGUGAAAUGCGCAGAUAUCAGGAGGAACACCGGUGGCGAAGGCGGGACUCUGGGCUGUAACUGACACUGAGGAGCGAAAGCAUGGGGAGCAAACAGGAUUAGAUACCCCGGUAGUCUC
rnacentral:rRNA from 1 species